rnacentral:rRNA from 1 species
UACGAAGGGGACUAGCGUUGUUCGGAAUCACUGGGCGUAAAGCGCACGUAGGCGGAUUUGUAAGUCAGGGGUGAAAUCCCGGGGCUCAACCUCGGAACUGCCUUUGAUACUGCGAAUCUUGAGUCCGAUAGAGGUGGGUGGAAUUCCUAGUGUAGAGGUGAAAUUCGUAGAUAUUAGGAAGAACACCAGUGGCGAAGGCGGCCCACUGGAUCGGUACGUGACGCUGAGGUGCGAAAGCGUGGGAGCAAACAGGGAU